GGAGUUGUGGCUCAAUGGGAGAGUGCAUGCCCAGCAUGCAUGAGGCCCUGGGUUCAAUCCCCAGUACCUCUA
rnacentral:tRNA from 1 species